rnacentral:misc_RNA from 1 species
UCCGGCUUUCACCGGCUGUGUCUCUAGAGUGCCCAACUUAAUGCUGGCAACUAAAGAUAAGGGUUGCGCUCGUUGCGGGACUGAACCCAACAUCUCACGACACGAGCUGACGACAACCAUGCACCACCUGUCUCCUCUGUCCCGAAGGAACUCUCUAUCUCUAGAGUAGUCAGAGGGAUGUCAAGACCUGGUAAGGUUUUUCGCGUUGCUUCGAAUUAAACCACAUGCUCCACCGCUUGUGCGGGCCCCCGUCAAUUCCUUUGAGUUUCAGCCUUGCGGCCGUACUCCCCAGGCGGAGUGCUUACUGGGUUUCCUUCGGCACUGGGGACCUAAGCCCCCAACACCUAGCACUCAUCGUUUACAGCGUGGACUAC